UCUGAUGAAAAGAGAUUGUUUUUCGAAAAACUUACGUUGAAUGACGAUGCAGGGACCGGUGUUCCGCAAGAUACCGAUAAUUCCCAGCAAGGACGAGCUCCUCAGCGUCAUCCCAACCGCAGUUCCGGUCAAUAAAGUUGGGCUUCGUUACACCUCAGUUCUGGAGUACUUAGAGACGCACUUCCGGCUGCUGCGAGAGGACUUCAUCAAUCCACUCAGGCAAGGGAUAAAGCAGUACAUAAACAGGCAGGGAGGAUACUUUGCGGAGGUGAGGAUAUAUAGCAAUGUGGAGCUGAAAGGAGUACGUUUCACACUAAACGGGAUAGAAAACAAGGUGUCGUUCGUUGCAGAGAAAGUCAGGAACAAAACGAGGGAGAUAAACUGGGAGCAGAGCAAACGGUUGAUGUUUGGCUCCUUGCUGUGCAUGUCAAGGGAUAACUUUCAGACCAUUACCUGGGCAACGGUGGCAGGAAGGAAAGAGUUGGCUCAGAAUAUGGUGGACCUUCGUCUUUUAGAUGGAAGUGAUCUCGACGCAUCAUUCAAAUACGUCAUGGUCGAGUCUGCAGCAGCAUACUUCGAAGCUUAUUCUCACGUUUUGAAAAGCUUGCAACGAGAGGACAUGGAAAACAUACCUUUCAAGUCGCAUUUGAUAUCGUUAGUGAAGCAUGUGAAGGAGCCAGCGUACUUGCCACAGAGAGCAGAGGGCGAUAGAUACGACUUC
rnacentral:lncRNA from 1 species